AGAGUUUGAUCCUGGCUCAGGAUGAACGCUGGCGGCGUGCCUAACACAUGCAAGUCGAGCGGCAGCGCGGUCUUCGGACUGGCGGCGAGCGGCGGACGGCUGAGUAACGCGUAGGAACGUACCCCAAAGUGAGGGAUAAGCACCAGAAAUGGUGUCUAAUACCGCAUGUGCUCUUCGGAGUAAAGCUUUAUGCGCUUUGGGAACGGCCUGCGUCCGAUUAGCUAGUUGGUGAGGUAAUAGCUCACCAAGGCGACGAUCGGUAGCUGGUCUGAGAGGAUGAUCAGCCAGACUGGGACUGAGAACGGCCCAGACUCCUACGGGAGGCAGCAGUGGGGAAUUUUCCACAAUGGACGAAAGUCUGAUGGAGCAACGCCGCGUGCAGGAUGAAGGCCUUCGGGUUGUAAACUGCUUUUAUUUGUGACGAAUAUGACGGUAGCAAAUGAAUAAGGAUCGGCUAACUCCGUGCCAGCAGCCGCGGUAAUAC
rnacentral:rRNA from 1 species